CUCGGAGACAAAUCCUUGCAGUGGCGGCUCGACGUUCCGGAAGCAAUCUCGUUUGACAGCUCACUGUCGCCUUCGCGCGACAAUUCGAUAUGUACACACACGUACAGACCGCGUUAUACGGAGCAUAUCAAACCUCGCAGAAAUUGAAUCAGCGGCGGUCGGAGGAAUCCGUAAACGGAAACGUGAACGCGAAUCAACGGUGCACUCGGUGCUUCUCUCGCCGGCGCGCGACGCUUCGUUGCUAAAGAUAAUAUCGUUCCGUACGACAAAUUGGCACGUAUCGUGGCGUAAAGAGGUGCCCGCCCGUCUGCAUUACGUAUAUAUUUUGAAAAUUUCGGCAGACAUGUAUUUUCAGAUAAUCAAAUAGCGCUUUCAAUAAAUUCCUACGUAUAAAAUUAUACGUUAAAAUUACAUAAAUUGUCAUUUAACACAUAUUAAAAGAAAAUUAGGUAUUCAUUUAAACUAUGUUUCCUCGCAAAUCUGCGGAUAAAUUAAAUUGAAUUGGAUUAUCUGAAUAAAUUUAAAUGCAUUCAAUGUCAUGCAUUAAAUGACAUAUCAAAAGAGAAGACUCGUAUAGAAUUAAAUGUUAAACAUCAUCAAAUAUUAAUAUGUAAUGUUACAUACAAGUAAAAGUACGUUUAUAAUGAUAUCUCACCACAUACGAAAAAUCUGUAUACUGUAAGCGUAUUAUUAUUCCUUGAUCGAACAUAACUGUUUCUUCAGCUGAAUAAUUUCGAUAUUAGUUUUAUUCUUGAAAUCUACUAAAUUAAUACGAUAAUCGAUUCUGUGUCCCACUGACAGUCAGGUGUGAGAUAUAAACGAUUCUGAAUGUCAGAACACCUUGUAUAUUAAUAGCCUCGCUUGUGCACGCUGUGUCAAAUUGGAGGGAGACUAAUGUAAAGUGCAUCGCGCCCAGGGAAGAGAAAUGAUCGAAGGGGCCAGUAUCCGAAAGGCGAUUUAAAGGCACUCUUGAAUGCCGCCCGCGUUCACGCAUAUGUGCACGACGCUUUUUUCACCGAUAAAUAAUUUUAGUCUGGGCGUUACCAGAUCCCGCUGAUUUCUCGAGAAGCUACCUCGAGGGAGCGAAAUGGAUACUCGGAUAAAGCUAACGAAGAUGAUCGUACGAAAUAUGAUGGCGAUUCGUCGAGGAUUGAGAAAAACAGCGAGCAUUUAGUGAAGAGGAAGGGUUAGAACAAGAAGCGGCAGAAGAAGAACGUGAAUAGAAAACAGCAGCAGCUUUGGCAUAAUCAAUAUCUGCUCAUGUUUUAAAUAUUCAAAUAAUAAAAAACUAACAUUCAAUAAAAUUUAGAUAAACGA